UAAUGCCUGGGAAAUUGCCCAGUCGAGGCCCUUAACAGUUGGAAACGACUGCUAAUACCGCAUACGCCCUACGGGGGAAAGCAGGGGACCUUCGGGCCUUGCGCGAUUGGAUAUGCCCAGGUGGGAUUAGCUAGUUGGUGAGGUAAUGGCUCACCAAGGCGACGAUCCCUAGCUGGUCUGAGAGGAUGAUCAGCCACACUGGAACUGAGACACGGUCCAGACUCCUACGGGAGGCAGCAGUGGGGAAUAUUGCACAAUGGGGGAAACCCUGAUGCAGCCAUGCCGCGCGUGUGAAGAAGGCCUUCGGGUUGCAAAGCACUUUCAGCGAGGAGGAAAGGUUGAUGCCUAAUACGUAUCAACUGUGACGUUACUCGCAGAAGAAGCUCCGGCUAACUCCGUGCCAGCAGCCGCGGUAAUACGGACGGUGCAAGCGUUAAUCGGAAUUACUGGGCGUAAAGCGCACGCAGGCGGUUGGAUAAGUUAGAUGUGAAAGCCCCGGGCUCAACCUGGGAAUUGCAUUUAAAACUGUCCAGCUAGAGUCUUGUAGAGGGGGGUAGAAUUCCAGGUGUAGCGGUGAAAUGCGUACAGAUCUGGAGGAAUACCGGUGGCGAAGGCGGCCCCCUGGACAUAGACCUGACCCUCAGGUGCGAAAGCGUGGGGAGCAAACAGGAUUAAAUACCCUGGUAGUUCCACGCCGUAAACAAUGUCGAUUUGGAGGCUGUGUCCUU
rnacentral:rRNA from 1 species